rnacentral:rRNA from 1 species
AACCGGAUUAGAUACCCUGGGUAGUCCAUCCGUAAAUCGUUGGCGCUAGGUGUGGGGUCCAUUCCACUGAUUCCGUGCCGCAGCUAACGCAUUAAGCGCCCCGCCUGGGGAGUACGUCCGCAAGGCUAAAACUCAAAGGAAUUGACGGGGUCCCGCACAAGCGGCGGAGCAUGCGGAUUAAUUCGAUGCAACGCGAAGAACCUUACCAAGGCUUGACAUGCGCGGUGGAAUCCCAGAGAUGGGGUGUCAUUUAGUUGGUCGCGUACAGGUGGUGCAUGGUUGUCGUCAGCUCGUGUCGUGAGAUGUUGGGUUAAGUCCCGCAACGAGCGCAACCCUCGUUCCAUGUUGCCAGCACGUAGUGGUGGGGACUCAUGGGAGACUGCCGGGGUCAACUCGGAGGAAGGUGGGGAUGACGUCAAAUCAUCAUGCCCCUUAUGUCUUGGGCUUCACGCAUGCUACAAUGGCCAGUACAGAGGGCUGCGAUACCGUGAGGUGGAGCGAAUCCCAAAAAGCUGGUCUCAGUUCGGAUCGGGGUCUGCAACUCGACCCCGUGAA